ACACCAACAACAAAGCAAAUUGCUACCACUGUUGCGAUAAUUCAGCACUUUUCAUGACUUUCCUUCCCUUCACCGGAGCAACAGCAGACGUCGCAGUAGCAGCAGCAGCAGCAACAACGGUUCGUUGCAGCGAGCUGUGUUGACAUACAUACAUAAAUAAAAUUUUGUAAAAUUGUACCAUCCAGUAAAAGGCACACAAUGCACAAGCGAGCAAACAACUGCGCUGUAGUCAGGGUGAGAGGGGAGAUAUAGAAAUGUAAUGCAUAGCCAUCCUUGCACUAUCCAAGGCAACGAACCGAAUAAGCGAAAUGAGUUACAGAAGUGAAGAAAAAAGUGGAGAAAGCGAGAGAAAAAGAGAAAAAGGAUUUCAUACAAUAGCAGAGCGCAAGUGGCUGCACCAAUAACAGUGCGGUAGUUACCAGGAGCAACGGCAAAGGCUGCGACAAUGACAUGGCAUGACAAUGUCCCAGCAACAUUGUCGAUAUUAACGUCAAAGUCAGCAUAUAACUCAUUAGGCGACUGACAGUCGGUAUGAUCCCAACAAUGAGCAGAGAGUGAAAAAAGAAGGGAGAGCGAGGGAGAUAAAGAGGAUGAAAUAGCGAAAGAGCCAGAGAAGUGGUGGAAGGGAGAAGCGAAAUGAAUAUAAAUUAUUGCAGUGAAAAACAAAAAAAAAAGAAAAUAAUAACCAGAACAACUCCAACGACAUUGGCAGUCACAAUUGAAGUUUGGUUCGUGAACGCAGAGAUAAAGUGAAUUACAUGGAAAGUAUGGAUGGCAUUUGCACAUAUCUGCAUAUAUUUCAAUAAAUAUUUAAGAAGAUGGAUUUGCAUAAGAGCAUAAUUUUACAUAUAUCGGACAUAUUAUGCAUGGACCCAAAUACGAAUUGUUGCACUUCAUUGUGCAAGAUAAAAUUGAGGGUAAAUGUGGCAUAGGAAGGAAGGAAAAGUCUUGGUUAAGGAACAUAAGAUAAUGGACUCCGAACGAUCGGGCAACUCACACAAGCAGCAUGGAACCGCGAAGAUUUUCGUGAUAUAGUAACAAAAAUAAAUUAAAGUAAAUUAAGAGUUAAGCACUCACAAAAUUUUAAAAUUUGCAUAAUACUAUAAUGUUGUGAUCGCUCACAUUCCGUUGAUAGAAUAGGCAAAUAAAGAAGAAGAAAAAUAAUUUUACAAACGAAAAGAAAUAUGUACAUGUGGCUGGAAGAGUGUCACAACCCAAAAAUAAUCGUGGUUUUCCUUAUGAAGUCUUGAAUUCACUAGUGCCUCAAAGUAAAAAUAAAUAAAUAUUUUUCUCCUGCUCAGAGAUAGUCAACUAUUAAUGUGCACUCCUCAGUUUUGCAAGUGAAAGUUUAAAGUUUUCUGAGCAGUCAAAAACUCAAAACGAUCACUGAAGUUUGACGGGUUUUGGCCAGUAUUGGACCCAUGAAUAUCUAAGUGAAUGAAGCGACUCGCUUACAUCGGGCCCUCAACGAUUGUAAAAGUGUCAGAAAAAAAUGAGCGAAUACUCUUAAUAAGGCAGCAGCCUUAGGAAGUCUCUUCUAAAGCACGGCUUAACUAAAAACUUUCAAGCGAAUAUUGACAGGUAUUCCUACAGAUGAUCUCAACAAUAUAAUGGGUACUAACUUCGACCUAAUGCAGAUGCAGAGUACGGAUUACUUUCCUAGAUUUCAACAGGUUUUUACACUUCACUCUCUAACUUGUCUAAGCGGAUCAUCUUAUCUUGAUACGAUAACGCGUCUAGCUGGAAGGACUAACGAAGAAAAAUUUGUUGCUCAUAUGAGCGA